ensembl:lncRNA
CGUGUCCUGCUAGGUGUCGUGUCCUGCUAGGUGUCGUGUCCUGCUUGGUGUCGUGUCCUGCUAGGUGUCGUGUCCUGCUAGGUGUCGUGUCCUGCUUGGUGUCGUGUCCUGCUUGGUGUCGUGUCCUGCUAGGCGUCGUGUCCUGCUAGGCGUCGUGUCCUGCUAGGUGUCGUGUCCUGCUAGGCGUCGUGUCCUGCUAGGUGUCCUGCUAGGUGUCGUGUCCUGCUAGGUGUCGUGUCCUGCUAGGUGUCGUGUCCUGCUAGGUGUCGUGUCCUGCUUGGUGUCGUGUCCUGCUAGGUGUCGUGUCCUGCUUGGUGUCGUGUCCUGCUAGGCGUCGUGUCCUGCUAGGUGUCGUGUCCUGCUUGGUGUCGUGUCCUGCUUGGUAUCGUGUCCUGCUAGGUGUCGUGUCCUGCUAGGUGUCGUGUCCUGCUAGGUGUCGUGUCCUGCUAGGUGUCGUGUCCUGCUAGGUGUCGUGUCCUGCUAGGUGUCGUGUCCUGCUAGGUGUCGUGUCCUGCUAGGUGUCGUGUCCUGCUAGGUGUCGUGUCCUGCUAGGUGUCGUGUCCUGCUAGGCGUCGUGUCCUGCUAGGCGUCGUGUCCUGCUAGGCGUCG